rnacentral:rRNA from 1 species
ACGCUCGACACCUACGGGAGGCAGCAGUGGGGAAUAUUGCACAAUGGGGGAAACCCGUGAUGCAGCAACGCCGCGUGAGUGAAGAAGUAUUUCGGUAUGUAAAGCUCUAUCAGCAGGGAAGAAAAUGACGGUACCUGACUAAGAAGCCCCGGCUAACUACGUGCCACAGCCGCGGUAAUCUGAGCGGGCUGGCAAGGC